UACAGAGGUCCCGAGCGUUGUUCGGAUUCACUGGGCGUAAAGGGUGCGUAGGUGGUGAGGUAAGUCAGAUGUGAAAUCUCCGAGCUCAACUCGGAAAUGGCAUUGGAAACUACCUUGCUAGAGGAUCGGAGGGGGGACUGGAAUACUUGGUGUAGCAGUGAAAUGCGUAGAUAUCAAGUGGAACACCAGUGGCGAAGGCGAGUCCCUGGACGAUACCUGACACUGAGGCACGAAAGCUAGGGGAGCAAACAGG
rnacentral:rRNA from 1 species